GACGAACGCUGGCGGCGUGCUUAACACAUGCAAGUCGAACGGAGCGAAUGAAAGCUUGCUUUUAUAAGCUUAGUGGCAAACGGGUGAGUAACACGUAGGCAACCUGCCGACAGGAUGGGGACAACAUUCCGAAAGGAAUGCUAAUACCGAAUGAAGUCAGAGGAGGGCAUCCUCUUCUGAUGAAAGAUGGCCUCUAUAUAUAAGCUAUCACCUGUCGAUGGGCCUGCGUCUGAUUAGCUGGUAGGUGAGGUAACGGCUCACCUAGGCGACGAUCAGUAGCCGGUCUGAGAGGAUGAACGGCCACAUUGGGACUGAGACACGGCCCAGACUCCUACGGGAGGCAGCAGUGGGGAAUCUUCCGCAAUGGGCGCAAGCCUGACGGAGCAACGCCGCGUGAGUGAAGAAGGUCUUCGGAUCGUAAAGCUCUGUUGAUGGGGACGAACGUGCCUAAUGCGAAUAGUUUUAG
rnacentral:rRNA from 1 species